rnacentral:rRNA from 1 species
GUCUACGGCCAUACCACCCUAAAUGUGCCUGAUCUCGUCUGAUCUCGGAAGCUAAGCAGGGUCGGGCCUGGUUAGUACUUGGAUGGGAGAAACUGGGUACAGUGGUGC